rnacentral:rRNA from 1 species
AGGACGAACGCUGGCGGCGUGCUUAACACAUGCAAGUCGAGCGGUAAGGCCCUUUCGGGGGUACACGAGCGGCGAACGGGUGAGUAACACGUGGGUGACCUGCCCUUAGCUCUGGGAUAAGCCUGGGAAACUGGGUCUAAUACCGGAUAUGACCUCGCGAUGCAUGUCGUGGGGUGGAAAGCCUUGUGCGGCUAGGGAUGGGCCCGCGGCCUAUCAGCUUGUUGGUGGGGUGAUGGCCUACCAAGGCGACGACGGGUAGCCGGCCUGAGAGGGCGACCGGCCACACUGGGACUGAGACACGGCCCAGACUCCUACGGGAGGCAGCAGUGGGGAAUCUUGCGCAAUGGGCGAAAGCCUGACGCAGCGACGCCGCGUGAGGGAUGACGGCCUUCGGGUUGUAAACCUCUUUCAGCCCUGACGAAGCGAAGUGACGGUAGGGCGAGAAGAAGCACCGGCCAACUACGCGCCAGCAGCCGCGGUAA